ensembl:snRNA U6 U6 spliceosomal RNA
GUGCUCGUUUCGGCAGCACAUAUACUAAAAUUGAAACGAUAGAGAAAUUAGCAUGGCCCCUGAGCAAGGAUGACAUGCAAAUUCAUGAAGCAUUUCAUAUUUUU